rnacentral:rRNA from 1 species
UACGGAGGGUGCAAGCGUUAAUCGGAAUUACUGGGCGUAAAGCGUGCGCAGGCGGUUUGUUAAGUCUGUUGUGAAAUCCCCGAGCUCAACUUGGGAACUGCAUGCAAAACUGGCAAGCUAGAGUAUGGUAGAGGGUGGUGGAAUUUCCUGUGUAGCGGUGAAAUGCGUAGAUAUAGGAAGGAACACCAGUGGCGAAGGCGACCACCUGGACUGAUACUGACACUGAGGUGCGAAAGCGUGGGGAGCAAACAGG